UACGUAGGGCGCAAGCGUUGUCCGGAAUUAUUGGGCGUAAAGAGCUCGUAGGCGGUUUGUCACGUCGGAUGUGAAAACCCGGGGCUCAACCCCGGGCGUGCAUCUCGAUACUGCCCGACUAGAGGUAGGUAGGGGAGAUCGGAAUUCCUGGUGUAGCGGUGAAAUGCGCAGAUAUCAGGAGGAACACCGGUGGCGAAGGCGGAUCUCUGGGCCUUACCUGACGCUCAGGCGCGAAAGCUAGGGGAGCGAACAGG
rnacentral:rRNA from 1 species